rnacentral:misc_RNA from 1 species
GUUGUUGAUCUUGCCUGCAUGCGAGAUGCCAUGAACGGCCUUGGAGGUGAUUCUAAUAAGAUUAACCCACUGGUUCCGGUUGAUCUUGUUAUUGAUCACUCAGUUCAGGUUGAUGUGGCAAGGUCAGAAAAUGCGGUGCAGGCUAAUAUGGAACUCGAAUUUCAAAGGAACAAAGAAAGAUUUGCCUUUCUCAAAUGGGGUUCAAAUGCGUUCCAUAACAUGCUUGUCGUUCCCCCUGGUUCUGGGAUAGUCCAUCAGGUCAAUUUGGAAUACCUUGGAAGAGU